UAGCUAGCUCUACCGUGCCAAGUUAUUAAGGUCGAUGUUCUCCUAGCUCGCGUUACUGAUGUGAGGAGUGUGUUCACUGCAUGCCCACCUAACGAAAACUAGAUAGAUCCUCUAGUAGUACCUCGGUGGCUAUGGCAAUCAGCUUCCUUGGUCUCCUGAUUACUUAGGAUCUGCAUAGUUUUCAUUUAGGGAAAAGAAAGGGAGGUUGUGGUAGCUAGUGCUCCUGUUAUUUACUGCUGUAACUGUGACUUGGUACUAUGUUGAUGGGUUUUGGGUUUUGUACUUUGAGUAGAUCCGCUGUUUGCAAGCUGCAAAAUGUGGACGAAUAAAGUCAGUAUGUCAAUUAGUACAUGUCAUGUCUUCUAUCACUACUAAUUAACCAGUAUGCCGAAUUCUGGUACCUGUCAUAUAUAUCACUAAUUAAGUUAGUUGAUUAAUCUUUGGAGCUCUUUCAUGGUCAGUAUGUCAAUUGCUGCCUGUCAUAUAUUUCCACCACUAUGCAGAGGCCGGGCUGCGUCCCUUUUCCAAAAUAUAUAUAUAUAUAUUUCCACCACUAGUUGGCCAGAAUGCCAAAUACUAGUACCUGCACUAUAUAUGUAUCACUAGUUAUGUCAGUAAGUUGAUUUCUAUCUGUCUUUAAGGGGGGAAAUAGUUUCAUUUUAUUUCUUUCUAUUCUAUGUUUUUUAUUUGCUUCCUCGGAGUGGUCCACUACAUGACAACGAUUUAUCCCUCGGGUGAUUAGAGGAGUUGGUACCAAUUGAUCAAAUUUGAAAUUAAACUUGGUGCAUGUAUUUUUCUACAAUUGUUUCGGCUUCUAAAUCUGUUCAAGAUUUAGUAUUUCUAAAAAGUCUGAGAACAACCGGUAUUUUUCCUUUUCAUGCGCGAGAAUUAACACGGGAUGAACAAAGUAUUACUACUCCCACCGUGUAAACAAAUAUAAGAGCAUUUAGAUCAUUAUUUUAAUGAUCUAAAGGGAGUACAACAUGGUGAGCGUAUCUAGAUCUCCAUGAGCAUGUUUGCAAAAAUUGACCAUGAAGUAGUUAACUCUCAGAUGACUUACACAAUUAUAUAUAUUUUUAGUAGAUUAAUUCAUUUUAUAGCAUGGUAUAAACAUUAUCUUAGAUUUCUAUAAAUAAUUUUGUAAAAUCACCCGACUUAAAUCUCAGCCCAUGAAGAAACUAAUGCUCUGUAUCUAUAUAGGUGUUACUUUUAUAGAAAAUAAUAAGCUAUUUUUUGUGGUAGCCAACAAUAUACAUAUCAAUAGGCCAUAGCGAGACAUUUUGCCUUGACUUAUGUACUAGGUCGGUGUUCUGUGAUGGCUUAAAUUUGAAUAUGUGGUGCUCUCUGAGGGUGCUUGCAAGACUAAUACGUAAAAGAAAAACCUGGUCACAUCCACACGCAUGUGUAUGUGACUACAUGACUAGUUAAUUUACCUUGGACAAACUAUCACAUGAACAUAUUUGAUCACAUGCACGUUUUCAUAUCUACCGAUAGAACACGUCUCGGAAAUAUAAGAGGUAUUAAUUAAAGAUAUGUAUAUAUCUUGUGACAGAUCUGCAACGGUACAUGUUCUGUAUAUUUCAUAAAACAUCACACCAUAUCAUCAAUAUAAAGACAAGUGCCAAAAGUGCAACUGAAAACUAAAAUAAAAGGUACUCCCUCCGUAAACUAAUAUAAGAGCGUUUAAAUCACUAAAGUAGUGAUCUAAACACUCUUAUAUUAGUUUACAGAGGGAGUACAAUGCUGGGGCAUCAGCUUAACAUUAUGCCCAUGCAUCCAAAUAAAAACAACAGCUAGCUCGCGGCAGGAGGGGCGGUGACAAUCGACGUGCCACGACAUGAAACUUCCUGAUGAGAUCAUCAAUUGCGUCGCGCUCCUCGUGGUUACUAAGUAUUCUCAAUUGCUGCAAAAAGAAACGCCGACUGCCGCCCAAAUAUGUUGUGUGAAAAUUUAAAUACGUGGUGCUCUGGGGGUGCUUGCAAGACUAGUUUGUAAAAAAAAAAAAAAACUGGUCACAUCCACCUAUGUGUAUGUGACUACAUGACUAGUUAAUUUACCUUGGACAAACUAUCAGAUGAACAUAUUUGAUCACAUGCAUUUUUUCCAUAUCUACCGAUAGAACCUGUCUGGGAAAUAUAAGAGACAUUAAUUAAAAUAUGUAUAUAUCUUGUGAUAGAUCUGCAACAGUACAUGUUCUGUAUAAUAUUUCAUAAAGCAUCACACCAUAUCACCAUAUAAAGACAAGUGUCCAAAGUACAACUGAAAACCAAAAAAGGGGUACAAUGCUGGGGCACCAGCUUAACAUUAUGCCCAUGCAUCCAAAUAAAAACCUCAGUUAGCUCGCGGCGGGAAGGAGUAGCACCAAUCAACGUGCCAUGACACGAAACUUCUCGAUGAGACCAUCAAUUGAGUCACGCUCCUGCUGCUUACUAAGUAUUCUCAAUUGCUGCAAAAAAUGCAAAGUUUAUAUAUGGCAUUAGAUAAGCGAUGCAAAGGAAUGUGUUCAAUGACAAGCUAUGCCGCCCAAACCAACCCACUAGAUUUUGCAGUCGCGGUUAGAGCUAUGCAUAAUUUCAAAGAAAUCAGGAAAAUUGCACGGGCUUUCUUUCAACACACCCAACAACUUCCUUGAGGCAACUCCAAAGGAACUGUGCAGUCACACACGUGAAUAUAUGUGGUCGAAGUCAUCAUCCACAUCACACAGGGGGCAACAACCAUCAUCAGGGCCACUGCGCUUAAGCACCCGCACCCCCGAGGGAAUCCGACUACAAACAAGCUGCCAAAGAAAGAUACAUAGUUUGAAGGGGAUUUUGACAUCCCAAAUCCGAGUCGGCUCAUUAGGUCCAGGGAGGUUGCAAUGGCUUGGUAGAGUGAUAAUGUCUACUACACACUUCUAUUCUUGUAGAUUUUGUUGAGCCUCCAAGCGCAGAGUUUUGUAGGACAAUAACAAAUUUCUCUGAAGUGGAUGACCUAACGCUUAUCAAUCUUUGGAAGGUGUAGGAUGAAUUUAUUCUCCUCUCAAGAACCCUGGAAUAGGGUACAAGAAUUCUCUUGUAUCGCCAACACACUUCAUACAAUUUUCAAUCAUAUAAGUGCACUAGUUUGGCGAAGAGAUUGAUAAAUUGGAUGAUCGGUAGAUAAUAUGGCUGGUGCAAAUAUUUCUAUAUUUUCUGAACAAUUAAUAACAACAAGAUAACAAGUAGCAUACGUGACUGAAAACUAGGUGCAAUGGUUGGACACAAAAUGUGGGGUGUGUAGCUUCACUACUGUCAAUUCUCAGCAUGGUAUCUUCAUUAAAAUACAUGAAUUAAUCUCAAAGAGUUCACUUUUAUUGGGUCAAUUUGGAUGAGAUCUCGCAGGUGCACAAAUAUAAAACCACCUCAAAGUUGACUUUCUAAUCUUAAUCUAUUGAACUACCCUAAUGUCAACACAUGCAUCCUCAGAAAUCAUACUGCAACACCACCAUAUGAUCUAUAUAGUUUAAUGUUUGUUUAACGAGUCACCCCAAUAUCACUACGGGUGUCUCCAGGGAUUAUACUAGAUGUGCAUUAUGUGAUCUCAUUAUCUCCUUAAGUUCAAGAAUAUAACAUGAACAAGACUCAAAUCAUAAAGGUACUCUUCACAAGAGGUACAUCAUGCCUUUCAAUUGAUCAUCAAUGCCCAAGAUCAUAAUCAUGGUGGCAAUUCAAAAGAUCAAGAGAGAGGGCAGAGUCGGCUCUAUGUUUCGAAAAGCCCUUGGGCGAGCUCGAUGACACACACACACACACAUACACACACACAAUGUGUGUGUGUGUGUCUUCAUUUGCAUAGUAUUAAGAGUAAACUUUAAACCGAACAUUUUGUUGGACAAUACCAUAUUAUGACAAAAAGUCUAAAAAGAUAGCAAAAUGAAACUAACAUGAUCAUAUGUCUCACCAUUUGGAUUUUCAUUACCAUCCGCAAGCCAUAGAUUUUUCCUACCCCAUAUUGUUAGCAUUGACAUCAUCCUCCAAACUUAUUUGCCCCUCGUAUUUGUACCAUCUUCAUUGACCCUAGUAUCAGAAAUUUUCUACCUGAGAUUAGUUUGUUGUUAUUUUUCUUCAUUGACAUCAACAUUGCUUGAAGAUGGAAAGUAGGUUUCUAAAGGAUUCAUCUGUGAUUGAAUUUUUAGUUCGCUUUGUUUUCUUUUUAUCCUUUUUUUCAUCACUAGAAAAAUGAUUCUUAGGCAACAUUCCAAGACUGACUAAUGUUCUAAAUUAUGAACAAAAAAGAGAAUACAAAGUAUAAGAAAUUUAUCGACCGCAAUCCUAAUCAUGUCAUGUACACUGAAAUUGGGGAUGGGUGAAUACAUACUUGUGAAAGACAAGGACACUAGAAGACUAGACUGAGUGGCUGCCGGCCUAGCCGGCCGACCAAGGCAGGAGCGCAACAUGGGCAAGACGGCAAGGGCGGUACAACACACAGCCGAGACAAGAAUCGCUAGCGACAGUUGCCGGCAACGAGAGUGACGAAACAAUCAUGAUCACUAUAAAAUUUGCUCUAUUCAGUGAUAUAAACCCUGGUGACGAAACAGGAACGUCGCCUAAAAUAAUUUUCUGUGAUGGUCCACCAUCAUGAGACGUUUUCCUCCUGAGGCAGCGCCCUCGGUAACUUUGGCGACAUUCUGGCCCGAUUUUGGGCGAUGAUAUUGGGUGUCAUUAGGCAUGUCCAUUCUCCGGUACGGUUUGUAGUGUCACAGUAAAUCUUGAGCAUGCCAAUGUCUUGACAUAUAAUAAGAAAAAUAAUUGAUUGUUUCUGAAGCUGACUAAUCUAGUGUUGAAAGUCUUUGUAGAUAUUUUCUGAAAGUAGUAAAUCUACUUUCUGAUAGUGUUCCUGAAAGUUUUGGCGAACUCCUACACUAUCUAAUUUAAUUUUAAACGGGAAAAAAAUGUGUUCUUCCUGUGGCCGAAUGGAGGAAGUGGAGCAAGAUGUACAUACUGCAUUGCCAGUAUGGCAUUGAUCAGUUUUCGAUCAAACUGUCGGUACUUGUUUACUUAUAGGACGUCUAGUAGAUUCUACCGGUCCGCACGGGUCAUCUUGUCGCCUGACGAAGGGAAAGGCCACGUUUCAGUGCUGCAGUGCAUCGAUUAAUGGCGGCAGGCGCGUGCCAACUGCCAUCGGCCAUUGAUGCCACUUUUCCCCUUCGCCCGCCAACUUUUGCCGCCACUUUUUCCCGCCCGGCGACCACCGCCCGUGGCUAUAAGACCCUCACCAUGACCAAACAACUCAUCCUUUAUCUUCACAACGUCCGCAUUCAUCCACAUUGCCAUGGCCAAAUAGAUGACCGCCUCCAUGCCUAGUUAGCUCAUUCUCUUUCAGCCUCCCCCAACCCACUCCAUUGUCAUAUCUGAAUAUUCACUAUGUCCUUGAUGCUUAGCAUCCAUGAGCGGCCGGUCUUGGCACCAGUCUCGAAGGAGAUGGUCGUGAAGGAAGAACCCUUCACCAUCUUGUCACGUUGACACGAUACUAGCGCUCAUUGCUCUUUCAGGCACCACCAGCUCGCAUGUUGGAUUGCGUAAUGGAGCCAAGUGAGGUGCAGAGAAUGCUUCAUUCGGCUCCAUUACGCGGAGCAACAUGCACACUUGGUGCGCAGUUGAGGAGGCAGGUGGUUACAUGUGCAUGCCCCAUGUGCAGCAUUCACCGUCGUGGUGACAAGCACAACAACUAGUGCAGUCACUUCUUUAGGUUGGUUGACGGGGGUUGUUACAUCUUUGAUGGGCCAAAAAAACUAUUAUAGUCUUUUCCGGCGAUGUUCAUUCGAUGGGAGGACAUCUUAACAUCUACUACAAAUUGUAUGCAUGUAUUCAUGAGCAUCCGUGUCUGUACUGUCUUAAAAAAACUAGUGCAGUAAGUGUGUUUAGUAAAAAAAAUGUAGCAAAGUUUGUAUGUGCUGCAUAAGCUAUUGUGUAUAGCCUGAGAGUGCUUAAUUUACUUUCCUAUAAUACUCCCAGCAAAGUAUGACAGUGAUUGAAUAUUUAUCCAUUUAUGCAAUUCAUAUUCAUAAAGUGCUAAAACAUUUGCUCAUAAUAUUUGUCAAACUAUUGACAAAAUUAGAAACCCUUUAGUUUUUAUUUUUUUGAAGGAAAGGGACCAUGUCCCCCGAUCCAUUUUAUAAAUGAAACCAAGCAUUUAGUAAUAGAAAAACAAGCACCUUACAACUAAAGGUGAAGAAAAACAAAAUUACAGUCUUAUGGCAGAAUGCCUAAAAACGCUCUAGUCGCAGCCUAGAAGCAAAUAGUCAAAAAAGGGAGGAAAAAUUAUUACAUCAUUGUCACUAAUAGUGCUCAGUGAAGGGGAAGUUUGCCUUUUUUUAAUCAGGCAACAAACAUGUAGAGCGCAUAGAGGGCUCUCCUAGCCUUCAUCAGGGUGCUGUUGCAGGCUAUGGAGACCACCUUGAUUCAGUAUAGAGGCUGGGCUGUCCACAACGGCCCGUGCAACAAGCUUUCCUGGAGAAGUGGGGGAGCCAAAUCCUCCUUGCUCAGCACUUGCCAUAUCCAACUUGUCCCAGUUCAGCCACCUUGAUGGCUUAGAAAACCUUUAUACAUACAAACAUAUCACACGUAAGUUAAUAUACAUAUACAAACACUAAUGUUCUCUGGAAUUUAGAAAUGUAAGGAAGGGAAUUCGUAGGCAAACGUAAGAACAUAUAUGAUGUGAUUCAGAUUAUUGUUUGCUUGCAAGUGAUUUAUUGCUAUUGCUGAUUUAUUAUAUUACCGUUGAUUGCUUUCCCCGGGAUUUCUUUCCGCAGAAACGAGGAUCUGGGGGGUUGGUACACACAAUUGCAUACAUAUUGGAAAUAUGCUUCUCCACAAUUGCAUACAUAUUGGAACAAGAAUUACACAAUUUUAAAAUACUUCAUUAUCCAAACAAGCAACACAUUUGAAAGAUGAUAGUAAUAUGUAAUUUGAAACAUAUGAGUUCCUUGUCCUCAUUAUUCAAUGAUUUGCCUGAUGCGCGACCUUUUCCCACAUCAGCCGUAGAGCUCCUUCUCUUCUGCCUCGAAUUUGUUGAGGUGCUCAUUCGCGCGUCGCUGACGCGCCACCGCAAAGCCAAUGGUCAAAUAAUCAGGCGCCCACAGGGUACUCUUCCUUGCUGGCAACGUACACCCGAUCUUUCAACUUCCACACGUAGAUGAGUCACAUGGAGCCUCUGGCAUCAGGGGCCAUCAAAUUGGCAUCUUCCUCCACCCUUGGCACGAGCAUCCCACCAGAGAUCCAUUCCAAUUUCUUCGUCGCGGGCCACAUGGGCCUCCCAGGCCGCCAAACGCGCGGCUCGCUUCUCCUCCUCGGCCUUCAUUGUUGCCUGCUACUUGUGAGUUGCGUUAGAAUUUCCUCCAACAAGAGAGGAUGAUGCAGUACAUUAUAGAUAAGUACUUUUCUCAGUUAAGAACCAAUGUUAUCGAUCCAGUAGGAGAACCACGCAAGACCUCGUGAACAAUACCUACACACAAAAGAACAAAUACUUGCACCCGACGCGAUCAAGGGGUUCUCAAUCCCUUGGCGGUUAAUUGCAAGGAUCAAGUCUAAUAAUGGUAAAUAGAUAAAUUAAAACAUAAAAUAAAAUAAUGGUAAAUAAAUUGCAGCAAGGUAUUUUUAGUUUUUUAUAUAUGAUAAAGAUAGACCCAGGGUCCAUAGUUUUCUCUAGAGGCUUCUCUCUCGAAGAAAAAACAUACAGUGGGUAAAUUUUUUACUGUUGGGCAAUUGGUAGGAAAGCACAUAGUUAUGACGAUAUCCAAGGCAAUGAUCAGGUAUAUAGACAUCACGUCCUAGACAAGUAGACCGACUCCUGCAUGCAUCUACUACUAUUACACUGAUACGUCUCCGUCGUAUCUAUAAAUUUUGAUUGUUUCAUGCCAAUAUUUUACAACUUUCAUAUACUUUUGGCAACAUUUUAUAUCAUUUUUUGGGACUAACAUAUUGAUCCAGUGCCCAGUGCCAGUUCCUGUUUGUUGCAUGUUUUUUGUUUCGCUGAAAAUCCAUAUCAAACGGAGUCCAAACGCGAUAAAAAUUUACGGAGAUUUUUUUGGAAUAUAUGUGAUUUUUGGGAAGCGGAAUCAACACGAGACGAUGCCCGAGGGGCCACAAGCCCUUGAGGCACGCCCCCUACCUAGGGCGCGGCCAGGGGGCUUGUGUCCACCCCGAAGGUCGGUUGGAGAUAUCCUUUGGACGCAAGGAAGCUAUACCUGGAUAAAACCGUGUUAAAAUUUCAACCCCAUCGGAGUUACGGAUCUAUGGGAAUUUAAGAAACGGUGAAAGGCCAAAAUCUGGGAACGCGAAACAGAAGAGAAACGGAGAGACAAAUCCAAUCUCGGAGGGGCUCUUGCCCCUCCGCCGCCAUGGAGGCCAUGGACCAGAAGGAAAACCCUCCUCCCAUCUAGGGGGAGUUCAAGGAGGAAGAAGAAGGAGGGGGGCUCUCUCCCCCUCUCUCCCGGUGGCGCCGGAACGCCGCCGGGGCAAUCAUUGUGUGACGGCGAUCUACACCAACAACUCCAUCAUGUUCACCAACAUUUUCAUCACCUCCCCUCAUCUAUAUUCAGCGGUCCACUCUCCCGCAACCCGUUGUACCCUCUAAUUGAACAUGGUGCUUUAUGCUUCAUAUUAUUAUCCAAUGAUGUGUUGCCAUCCUAUGAUGUUUGAGUAGAUUUUUGUUGUACUAUCGGUGAUUGGUGAAUUGCUAUGAUUGGUUUAAUUUGCUUGUAAUUAUGUUGAUGUCCUUUGGUGCCCAUCACAUGAGCGCGCGUGUGGAUCACACCAUAGGGUUAGUUGUAUAUUGAAAGGACUAUGUAUUGGAGGGCAAGGGUGACAACAGCUUCAACCUAGCAUAGAAAUUGAUGCAUACGGGAUUGAAAGGGGACCAAUAUAACUUAAGGCUAUGGUUGGGUUUUACCUUAAUGAAUGACAGUAGUUGCGGAUGCUUGCUGGAGUUCCAAUCAUAAGUGCAUAGAAUUCCAAGUAAGGGAUGACAUGCUAGCAGUGGCCUCUCCCACAUAAAAACUUGAUAUCGGUCUAAUAACGUAGUCAAUUGCUUAGGGACAAUUACGCAACUCCUACCACCACUUUUCCACACUCGCCAUACUUACUUAAUUGUUUAUUUAUCUAAACAACCCGUAGUUUUAUUUACAUGCUCUUUGUUAUCUUGCAAAUCUAUCCUACAACACCUACAAAGUACUUCUAGUUUCAUACUUGUUCUAGGUAAAGCGAACAUUAAGCGUGCGUAGAGUUGUAUUGGUAGUCGAUAGAACUUGAGGGAAUAUUUGUUCUACCUUUAGCUCCUCGUUGGGUUCGACACUCUUACUUAUAUCGAAAGAGGCUACAACUGAACCACUACACUUGUGGGUUAUCAAGACCUUUUUCUGGUGCCGUUGCCGGGGAGCAACAGCAUGGGGUGAAUAUUCUCGUGUGUACUUGUUUGCUUUAUUGCUAAGUAGAUUUUAUUUGCUGUUCUAAGUUGUUCUCUAUCUUUAGUUAUGGAUAUGUAACACAAAAUACCAAAAAAAAUUA
rnacentral:lncRNA from 1 species